CUGGGCCCCUGGAUCUAGGGUCUGAUGCUGGUCUGGGCAGAAAUGGAUUUGUCACCUCAAAGAUGACUUCCUUGGGCACAACUAGGCCAGACGCUGGGUACCUUGUGGUGGCCCUGGAGGGGUACAGCUUCAAGAAAGAACUUGCCGAUCCCCUGCAAAGAAUGCAGUUAGCCAACAGCCUUCGGCCUCAGCACAUUUGAGAUCUGCCUUAACUUUCAAGCCAAGGCUAGCUCUUCCUGAGCAGGCUCCAGCGAAGAACCUGCAUGGAGGGACUAGGACCCGACCAGUUCUGCCCAACAUGGGGCUCCCCUAACAAACAGUCUUUGUUCUGGAGCUCCCAAACUGAGUUGACAAAGCCUCUGUCAGCCCUGCAUUGCCGUCUGAGGCUCCCCUGCUGAGUGCUGCUUUCACCCACUUUUGUCUUUCACAGGCAUGACACUCCUCCCUCUCGUCCUACUAGCUCCACUUUACCAUCUGCUUCCCAGAGGACUGGAACUGACAUGCUGCCUUUACUACCCCGCAACCAUUCUCACCCCACCUCCACAUAUGCCUGCCCAAAUAAUCUUGAUUUUGGGCUCAGCUACUAGAUCGAAAUCCCUUCAUCUUUGGAGAGUGGGUUGCUCCCCAGCCCCAGCAGAUAAAUCAUGAUCUGUCUUAAGUAGACCCAGUAAGUCCUUUCUGUUCUACAGGAAUUGGUCCAGGAUGGGUGCCUGGUCCGCCUUUUAGCCAAUGAGAGGUCAGGGGAAAUCUGGGGCUUCACUUUACUAAUAACAUAGACCUUCAGGUAGUUAAAGCCUUCUGCCCUGCCCCUUCCCUUCCAUUUUGAUCAGUGUCCUGUGAUCAAAUGAUGUGAGGCACUGCAGCAGCUGUUUUGGGCAAUGAGUUUGAGGACAAAAGCCAACUGCUGAAGAUGACAGAGCAGAAAGAUGAGAAGAGCCUGAGUCCUGAAGAACACCCCCGAGCCCCUGCAAUGACUCUGGAGCUGCUGACCUCCACAUGUUUUGCUAUAAAAAAAAAGAUUGCAUUUCUUCUUUGCUCAAGCCACCAUGAAUCAGGCAUGCUGUGACUGGCCGCUGAAAAUAUGGUAACGCAUGCAGUCACAUUCCCCAUGUUCUAUUCUCCAGAUUACCUUCAAACAACUGAAGGUACAGGACUCAGAGUUCCCGUUGAGGUAUUUGAACUAUUUUCCUGGAAGGGAAAUAUUCAAAAAGUCCUCUCAGCCCCGGGCACAGUGGCUUACACUGUGGAUUACAAAAGGACUUUUAAGGACUCAUAGGAUUACAAAAUCCUGUAAUCCCAGCACUUUGGUGGGCAGGUCACCUGAGAUCAGGAGUUCAAGACCAGCCUGGCCAAAAUGGUGAAAUCCCGUCUGUACUAAAAUUAUAAAAAUUACCGAGUGUGGAGGUGCAUGCCUGUAAUUCCAGCUACUGGGGAGGCUGAGGCAGGAGAAUCACUUGAACCCGGGAGGCCGAGGUUGCAGUGAGCUGAGAUCACACCAUUGCACUCUAGCCUGGGCAACAGAGUGAGACUGCAUCUAAAAAAAAAAACCAAAAAAAUUAUCUCAUUUCCAACUUGCCAACACCUGUGAUAAUGUAAACCAAAAAUGAAAUUCUAAGCCCCUCAACUGACUGAAUGAAUCCCCAUCUUCACCAAGGUGAUCCCAAAGAAAACCUGAAAAACUAGUUCAGGCCAUGAUGGGAAGGAAGGUCAGAUAUGCCUCUUCGCCUCUUCAUACUUUCCUCCCUUUGGAGUUUAGGCACAACUGGUCAGCAUUCAUAUUAAAAUACAGAUCAUCAUAGGGCGGGCAUGGUGGCUCACGCCUGUAAUCCCAGCACUUUGGGAGGCCGAGGCAGGCAGAUCACUUGAAGUCAGGAGUUUGAGACCAGCCUGGCCAACAUGGUGAAACCCCGUCUCUACCAAAAAUACAAAAAUUAGCCAGGCAUGGUGGCAGGCGCCUGUAAUCCCAGCUACUUGGGAGGCUGAGGCAGGAGAAUUGCUUGAACCUGGGAGGUGGAGGUUGCAGUGAGCUGAGUUCGCUCCACUGCAAUCCAGCCUGGGUGACAGAGCGAGACUCCAUCUCAAAAAACAAAACAAAACACAAAAAACCAGAUCAUCAGAUGGACAAAACAGACUCUUUGUGCAAUAAGAUACCAAAUUCCAACCUGACCCUGUAUGUGAUGUAGAGCAUAACAGUGACAGAUAACAGGCCCUAAGGAAAGUCAAAGUAUUUUACCCCAAGAUAUAUUUAUUUGACAUAUUUUGGAGUGACCCUGCAAAGCCCACUCUUUGCCUUCUGUAGCGAAUCCCCUUCCUGUUCCAGGUCUUUUCCUGAUCCAGGAGAGAAUUAAACUAAGAGUCUAACACCUUUUGAGGUCUAAUAAGAGAAAUCUACCAUCUAUCCUGUCUGAAGCUGGGUGCUUAGAGGCUUCAUCUACAUAAACAAGAACCUUGGCUUCCACAACUCUCUUACCUUAACUCAAGCAUUUCUUUUUCUUUCUUUUUUUUUUUUUUGAGUUGGGUUCUCACCCUGUCACCUAGGCUGGAGUGCAGUGGUGUGAUCUCAGCUCACUGAAACCUCUGCCUCCCAGGUUCAAGCCAUCCUCCUGACUCCACCUCCUGAUAGCUGGGAGCACAGGUGCGUACCACCACGCUGGGCUAAUUUUUGGUAGAGUCAGGGGUCUCUCCAUGUUGCCCAGUCUGGCCUGGGACUCCUAGGCUCAAGCGAUCCACCCGUCUUGGCCUCCUAAAGUGCUGGGAUUAUAGGUGUGAGCCACCGCACCUGACCUCAAACAUUUCUUUAUGCUGACUUCAACUCCUCAGGCAAUGCUUCACUCUUUCAAUCAAUUGCCAAUAAGGAAAUCUUCGAAUCCACCUAUGCCCUGGAAGUCCCUCUGCUUCCAUCUUUGAGAUGUCCUGCCUUUUGAGGCUGAACCAAUGUAUACAUUUCAUGUAUUGCUUUAUGUCUUUGUUUGUGACUUCCAUCUCUCUAAAAUGUAUAAAACCAAACUGCAACCUGACCACCUUGUGCAUAUGUCCUCAGGACCCCCUGAGGCUGUGUCACGGGCCAUGAUCACUCAUAUUUGGGUCAGAAUAAACUUCUUCAAAUAUUUUACGGAGUUUGGCUUUUUUCCUCAACAAUACUUACCUCUCCCUUGCUUCAAACCCUCCCAUGGCUCCCCAGUACUUUUUCAGUUUUUUUUUUGAGACAGAGUUUUGCUCUUUUUGUCCAGGCUGGAGUGUCGUGGUGCGAUC
rnacentral:lncRNA from 10 species